CCUACGGGAGGCAGCAGUGAGGAAUAUUGGUCAAUGGACGAGAGUCUGAACCAGCCAAGUAGCGUGAAGGAUGACUGCCCUAUGGGUUGUAAACUUCUUUUAUAUGGGAAUAAAAUGUUCCACGUGUGGGAUUUUGUAUGUACCAUAUGAAUAAGGAUCGGCUAACUCCGUGCCAGCAGCCGCGGUAAUACGGAGGAUCCGAGCGUUAUCCGGAUUUAUUGGGUUUAAAGGGAGCGUAGGUGGAUUGUUAAGUCAGUUGUGAAAGUUUGCGGCUCAACCGUAAAAUUGCAGUUGAAACUGGCAGUCUUGAGUACAGUAGAGGUGGGCGGAAUUCGUGGUGUAGCGGUGAAAUGCUUAGAUAUCACGAAGAACUCCGAUUGCGAAGGCAGUUCACUGGACUGCAACUGACACUGAGGCUCGAAAGUGUGGGUAUCAAACAGGAUCAGAUACCCGAGUAGUC
rnacentral:rRNA from 1 species